AUGGCAGUCGGCAAGAACAAGUACUUUACGAAAGGUGGCAAUAAGGGAGCCAAGAAGAAAGUGGUUGAUACAUUUUCUAAGAAAGACUGGUAUGAUGUGAAAGCACUAGCUAUGUUCAAUAUAAAACACAUUGGAAAAACAUUAGUCACAAGAACUCAAGGAACCAAAAUCGCAUCUGAUGGCCUCAAGGGUCGUGAUUUUGAAGUGAGCCCUGCUGACCUGCAGAAUGAUGAAACUGCAUUGAGCAAAUUCAAGCUAAUUACUAAGGAUGUUCAGGGCAAAAAGCCUGACUAAUUGCCAUGGCAUGGAUCUUACCCGUGACAAAAUGUGCUCCAUGGUCAAAAAAUGGCAGACCAUGAUUAAAGCUCAUGUUGAUGUCAAGACUACUGAUGGUUAUUUGCUUCAUCUGUUUUCCACCCAGGUGCCCCUGUUUUGUGUUGGUUUUACUAGAAAACGCAAUAAUCAGAUUUGGAAGACCUCUCAUGCUCAGCACCAACAGGUCCGUCAAACUUGGAAAAAGAUGAUGGAAAUCAUGACCCAAGAGGUGCAGACAACUGACUUGAAGGAAGUGGUCAACAAAUUGAUUUCAGACAGCAUUGGAAAAGAUAUAGAAAAAGCUUGUCAGUCUAUUUAUCCACUCCAUGAUGUCUUCGUUAGAAAAGUAAAAAUGCUGAAGAAGCCCAAGUUUGAAUUGGGAAAGCUCUUGGAGCUUCAUGGUGAAGGUAGUAAUUCUGGAAAAGCUACUGGGGAUGAGACUGGUGCUAAAGUUGAACAAGCUGAUGGAUAUGAACCACCAGUCCAAGAAUCUGUUUAAAAUUCAGACAUUUAAUGGUGACAAAUAAAAAAUCUUGUGAUGUUUAAUUUCUCAUGGUUCUUUUUAAAUAAUGUAGGCUUGGUGAAUCAGAUAUUCUGAACUGAUGGUGAUGUGAACUUUUCUAACUGUUGUAUGGAUUUUAUCCAUUACUCUGUGUUACUAAAUAGCUGCAAAAGAGUAGUGAUCCAUUUUGAGCUGUAGUGAUCUAGAAGUAUUAUAGAGGAUUAAUAAAAGGAAAUCUUAAAAAAAAAAA